ensembl:lncRNA
AUGCUUUUUACAUUAAAACUGCACGGGCCCCGCCCCCGCUGUCCCUCCGCAGACCCCGCCUCUCCCCGGGCUCCGCCCCAGGCUACCUGGGCUCUGCGCGCACGCGCAGUUUCCCGGAGUCCCGGAAGCGGCUGGUGGUGUGUGAAGGUGACGCCGCCGAGCAAGAGUGUGCCUGAGUGUAGAUUGAGCCUUCGAUUCGCCGUCCCCCUUUUCCACACCCGCUCUGCUGACCUUAAAAUCCCUGCAUCGCGCCCUCCACCCCAGCUCCACCGUCUGGAAAAUGUGCUCCUCCGGGAUGCAGGCGUCUUACUCCAAACCCUCCUGUGAAUGUGUGGUCCAAAAGGAUCAGGAGACAGAGAGAGCGGCUGAGAGAAAAGUAGAAAAACUGAGACAGAGGAAAGAAUGAAGGAAACCCAUAAACACAUGGCAAAGUAGAGGACGGGUCGGAAUUUGCAAAGAGACGGGAAGAGUGAAAGAAGGAGCCGGGCGCGGUGGCUCACGCCUGUAAUCCCAGCACUUUGAGAGGCCGAGGCGGGUGGAUCAGUUGAGGUCAGGAGUUCGAGACCAGCCUGCCCAACAUGGUGAAACCCCGUCUCUACUAAAAAUUAGCCGGGUGUGGUGCUGCACACCUGUAAUCUCAGCUACUCGGAGGGUGAGGCAGGCAAAUCGCUUGAUCCCGAGAGACGGAGGUUGCAGUCAUCCGAGAUCGCACCACUGCACUGCAGCCUGGGCUACAGAACAAGACUCAAUCUCAAAAAAAUUUUUAAUUAAAAAAAUAAAAAUAUAUUUCUCUUAGUUUUCUUCUUGCCUCCCUGAUCACUUUACACUUUUAUCUUCUGGUAUGUCUUGAGCUCUGUUUUCUGAAUACGGAGUGACCCUCAGCUUACCCCCUUGGACUUCUGAUCUCUGCCCACACCCACUGCCCUUAUCAUCUCAUCUCAUCUCAUGUCUUUAAACCCACCUAACACGGCUCCAUGUUCCCUGCAGACCUCUCCCCUGAACACUGGGAUCCUGUGUCCAAUUGUCUCUUCAACUCUCCUCUGGGAGUCCAGCAGGCGUCUCCACCUUCAUGUGUCCAAAAGUGACUUCCUGAACUCCCCAAAUGCAUUCCUCUGCAGUCCUGCACAUCUCAGAUGAGGGCAACCCUGGAUUUCCUGGGACUUAGCUGAACAUGUCAAUAUGUAUUAAAAUUAUAAAAAGUGACAUCAUUAGUAUGUUAAUUUAUAAGAGAAAGAAAAAAUUACAUGUUUACUUAAAACAGGUAAGGAAAUAAGUCAUUUCUAGAUUCUUUUGAGGUACGGGAGAGAAAUGUUUAGAGACCUCAUCUCUACCUGAUGUGUGCCCCCAGGACCUCUCUGACCUCAUGCCCUCUCUGACCUCAUGCCCUGCCUCUGUUCCCUGCUCCUUCUGCAGCCACACAGGCCUCUUUCCUGUUCCCGGGGCCGAGGUUGCUCCUGCCUUAGGGCCUCGAUGUGGGCUGUCCCUCUGCCUAGGACUCUGGCCCCUCAGCUGCAGGUGCAAACACCCGUCUUUUUUCUGAUACCACCUUCCUUUUUUUUUUUUUUUUUUUUGAGAUGGAGUCUCACUCUGUCGCCCAGGCUGGAGUGCAGUGGCGCCAUCCCCACUCACUGCAAGCUCCGCCUCCCAGGUUCACACCAUUUUCC